UAUAAAAAUUUAAAGAAAAGCAUGAUAAAAAAUAUUAAGUGCAGAAGAGAGUGAUAAAACAUUUAUUGAAAUUGAACAAUCAAGAACAAUUAAAUACAAUUUUACAUGAUUUCACUGUACCUGAAUUCAAUAUUAUUUAUAUUUAAAUAAUCCUGCAUUAUUUUAAUCAAGACCAUUAGAUCACAAAUUCACAAUUUAAUCAAUUUUAAUCAAUUGAGUGAUAAUACUCUACUCUAAAAUAUGCCUAUUCAAUUAUUCAUUCAAAUUCAAAAGAAUGUCAUAAACGACAUAAACUUAUAAGUUUAUGUGUUAUGACAAACAUCUAGUUAAAAUAAGAUAUUUGGUACAACUUAUCAUAAAUCAUAAUGACCUCAUCACUUCUCUAACUAUACUGUCUGUAUGUCAUGUUUCGUCUUAAAAUAUCUUGCGGUAUCAUGUGUGCAAUUGUAAAUUAAUAUUUUAUUUUUAUUAAUAAUUACAUUAUAAAACACUAUUAAUAUUUAAUUAUGUUUUGUAUCAAAAAUGUCUUAUCACGCAACAAAUGUUUAGUUAAAAAUAUAGGUAUAUCUUAGAAUUUGAGUCAGAUGUUUUUUAAUUUUUUUAGUAGACCAAAAUGUGUUAAUUUGUAAUGUUUGUGAAACAAAAGUGUGUAUGAAUAUGGUUUAUUAUUACUCGACAAUUCAACAUCUUCAUCAGAAAACAUAAAUGGGCAUUUAAGUGCGUUGAAAAUUUCCCAAGUACAAGUAAAAUACUUACACAACAAUUUAUAUAAUGAACACUAUGAAGAAGUCUAUACUCAGUCACAACUCACCAUCUUCUUGCAUUUAAUAUUUUAAAAUGACUCGAUUUAUAUCUUUACUUCCUGAACAAAUUAUGGCAAAAACGGGUAUUUGAAUAAGGUAACAAAUUACUUCUGUGAAUAUUUUGAGCAAAGAUAAUUAAAUAAAAUUUAUUAUAUUAAUAAAAAAUUCAAAAAAGCAUUUUGCUGAUCUAAAUAUUGAAAUUAACUUUGUAUUUAACAAACUAAAUUUUAGAUUUUUACUCAAUUUAAUUGCAUGAUUUGAAACUCGUGAAAUUCCACCGGCAGAUUAUAUUUCUAUAUUGAAGAAGCAAAAGAAAAAGAAAUUCAAUUUUUUAGAGAAAUCAGUAAUACAUAUAAUAAAAAUUAGGAUUUUGUCUAUUUUAUCAAAAAAUUAAGGCUAUUACUCAGUUUUAGAAACAUCAAGGAUAUUUAAUGGAAAAUUAGAUGUUAGUCAUUAGUUUUCAAUGUACAUAAUAUGUACUUCCAAUUUUCGUUCAUUUAAGUUCAAAAAUAUCAAAAAAUCUUUAAUUAUUCAAUGUAAUUUCCUGGUAUGGUGGUAUUUAUUUAUUUAUUGAUAUGAAACGGGACAAGCCCAAUACAAAUAUUGAUAUUAAUCUUAAAAUAUAAAUUAAAAUACAAGACAUGGUGAACAUAACAUAAAUAAUUGGUUGUCCCCCAAUAGAAACAAUUCGCUCAUCUCAUCAUGCGUGGUGUAGGACUGUUUCGCAAAUAAUUCACAGAACAAAAAGGAAUAUGAAAAGGGAAGACACUGCGAGAAUUUGAAAUCCUAAAAUUAAUCUUUUUUAAAAGAACUGGCGAGUCAAUUCGACCAUCAAUGAGUUUUCCCAAGAAUAAUAGAUUUAUUUGAACUCUCCUAACAUCCAGCAUUGUCAAGCCCAGGUGGCAAAGUAGCACGGCAGGUUCUAUUAUAAUAUCAGAUGAAUGGAGAGUAUAUUCUUGUUUAUAAAGUAGAUGCUAUGAUCAUAUAGAAUACUAGAACAGUUAACCAUUCAAAAAACUUAAUUAAUCCAACUGGCAACUACUGGAGCUCACAGUGCUCACACACACAAGCACAUAGCAAAUAGCAAUUGAAUAUUCACGGGGAGCCGGAGUAUUAAUAACCAAAAUCCUACGAAAAUUGCAUGGAACAUCAACUGAAUUGUUGUCACGUCAUUUAAUUGAAGCAUGGUACCUACCAUACCCGUUAACAAGCAAGAUACAUUUUUUUUAAAAUUUUUAAGUAAUUGUAAUGUACUAAAACUUUAUUACCAAAAAUAAAUUAUAAUAAAAUAAUAUUUUUGACAUUUUUUUUAUACAUUUUUUUUUACCGAUAUUUCAAAUGUAAUCCGUUAUUUUAAUUAAUAAAAUAACCCAAUUUUAUGAUUUUUUAGUUGAUUAUUUUUAAAUUAAUUAUCGGUCCGGUAGGUCACGUAUAAAUGUAUAAUAAACGAAUUCCAAUUUUCCAGAUAUAAUGAAAUACAAUAUAAACAGUAAAACUAAUUAAGGAAAAUUGUUUUUAAUUUUUCAGAGCUUUAUUUAAGCCUCGAAGAAAACUGAAAAUGACAACUUUUAACUGUAUAAAUAUAUAAUAGAAUUAAUUUAA